UUGAUAGUCCUGGGGAAUUAAAUCUUUUGUCUAUUCUGGGAACAAAUUCAGCACAGAAAUUGACAGCACAAGCGUCUUCACACUCCUGUAUCAGUGUGCCUCAAACUUUGUCUUUAGGGGGAAAGGGUAGUUCAUUCUUCAUGCCCAUUCAAUCCUUGGCCUUU
ensembl:misc_RNA